UACGGAGGGGGCAAGCGUUGUUCGGAAUUACUGGGCGUAAAGGGCGCGCAGGCGGCUGCUCAAGUCAGGCGUGAAAGGCCUGGGCUCAACCCGGGAAUUGCGCUUGAGACUGGGCUGGCUUGAGUGCGGGAGAGGAUGGUGGAAUUCCCAGUGUAGAGGUGAAAUUCGUAGAUAUUGGGAAGAACACCGGUGGCGAAGGCGGCCAUCUGGACCGCAACUGACGCUGAGGCGCGAAAGCUAGGGUAGCAAACGGG
rnacentral:rRNA from 1 species